UACGAGAGGCCCAAACGUUAUUCGGAAUUACUGGGCGUAAAGGGCUCGUAGGCGGCCAACUAAGUCGGAUGUGAAAUCCCCAAGCUUAACUUGGGAACUGCAUCCGAUACUGGAUGGCUUGAAUCCGGGAGAGGGAUGCAGAAUUCCAGGUGUAGCGGUGAAAUGCGUAGAUAUCUGGAGGAAUACCGGUGGCGAAGGCGGCAUCCUGGACCGGCAUUGACGCUGAGGAGCGAAAGCUAGGGGAGCAAACGGG
rnacentral:rRNA from 1 species